rnacentral:rRNA from 1 species
AUUGAACGCUGGCGGCAUGCCUAACACAUGCAAGUCGAGCGGAUGAAGGGGGCUUGCUCCUGGAUUCAGCGGCGGACGGGGGGGUAAUGCCCAGGAAUCUGCCUUGUCUUGGGGGAUAACGUCCGGAAACGGGCGCUAAUAUCGCAUCCGACGUGAUGGAGAAAGUGGGGGAUCUUCGGUCCUCUCGCUUUCUGAUGAGACUAGGAGGGGUUUGCUCGGUGGAGGGGUAAAGGGCUAACCAGGCGGCUAACCGUAACUGGUCUGAGAGGAAGACCAGUCACACUGGAACUGAGGCAGGGUCCAGACUCCUACGGGGGGCAGCAGUGGGGAAUACUGCAGGAUGGGGCAAAGGCUGAUCCGGCCAUGCCGGGGGUGUGAAGAAGGUGUUCGGAUUGUUAAGCACUUUAAGUUGGGGGGAAGGGCAGUAAUUUAAUACCUUGCUGUUUUGACGUUACCAACAGAAUAAGCACCGGCUAACUUCGUG